rnacentral:lncRNA from 1 species
AUAUAACGCUUCAGCCUGAGGAUAAUUAGGAGGAUGCCCAGCUUGUUAUAGAACACACAGUGCCUGCUACCAAGAAUGUACAGAGAGUCAUUGACUCAGUCUGUGCCUGUACAGAGUUCUCGACACACAACGUGGUAAAUCACCUAACGGAGAUCGUGAUGAUUAAUUGUACAUGUAAGUUUCAUUGAUACAAGUGGUGCUCAGAUAUUUUUUAAGAAUUUUUCUAGGCAUAUCUAUGGGGAUGUUUCUGACUAGAAUAAGGGCUGACCCUUCCCUGAAUAAAAGAAAAUUUUUCUUGUCUGAAUGUAUUUGA